AAUCCCCUCCCCUUACCUAUUGGUGGCAGGAGGUGGCAGGCGGCGGUCGGGCGGGUGGAGGGGAGGACGGUGGCAGGCGGCGGCCCGGAGGGGUUGUCGCGGCACUGACGAGCGGGCUGAUGCAGCGCUGAAGACGACGAUGUGAGGACUUGUUUUUGUGAUGUCGUUGUAGAUGUGUGGUGCUGCUGUGGAUGAUUAAUUUUGUGAAGUAUGUGAAUUUGUGAUAUC
rnacentral:sRNA from 1 species